GGCUUGGAGCUGCGCCUCUCACGAACAGCUACCCAGCCUCCCGGCUGCACAGGUGUUACCGGAGGACUGCUAGUGGAGGCUAAGGCUAUGCUAUGUGGCUCCGCACCGGCUACAGGGGGCUGGCUAACUACCGCAGCUACUGAAUGGUUUUCCAUGGUUUGGAGCCGCGCUUCUAGUUCACUAAGCCUCGCCUCCAAUGCAGCAAAUAAGCUACACUUGUUACAAUUACCACUGUCGCUAAAGGAGGCAGAGGCAUAACUGAACAUUUGGCACACCGAGCAAGAGAGAGCAGAGGGAGAAGCCAUCACUAAGCUAAUGUAGCUAACAAGGCUAAUCACGUGCAAACAACAGCUAAGAGAUUAGCAAGAGAGUCAUUACAUAGAGGAGAGCUAUAAGUGCUUAAACAGAACCAGUGUGGGUUAAGACUUGAAGUAGAUGUUAAAGCAACUGAAGUGAGAAAGCAGAAAGCAGGCUGGUAGAAUUCACCAGAGCAGUACAGAGACGCUGUCACAGAAACACCGGAAAUGACACAACACGCUUACCGCAAUACGUCAGCACUGUGACAUCCAGUUGAACCUCAGGCAGCAGCACUCUGAUUGGAUUUACCACUGCACCCUUACAUGUGCACAGUGUUGCCAUGGAUACGCAUUGACACAUCUUUGUUGUGACUGUGUGGCGUCUCCUCAGGUUCCGGCUCUGCUGGAGGAUGACCAGCCUUCAUCACAAUCAUCAUCCUCAGAGGAGGAGGAGGAAGAGGAUGAGCGGCGGGAGGAGGAGGAGGAGGAGCAGGAGAAGCAGGGGGAUGAAGCCCAGAUGGACAAAAAGGAGAAGAAGAAGAAGGUGAAGGAGACUCAGAGGGAGAAGAGGAAACACAAAGUACCCAAACACGUGAAGAAGAGGAGGGACAAGGUGUCCAAAAUGAAGAAAGGAAAGUGACGACUUCCUGUUUGUCAACAGCCACAACUCAGUCCUGAACUACAGCCGAACUCCUAUACUACCACAGAGACCCUCAGGCAUGAACUUCCUGUUAAAGUUGUGAAGUUGUAAAAACCUGGACGAGAUUAUUUUGGUUCUCAGAAUGUUUAUUAAGUUUUGACUUUACAUUGUUUUUGUUUAAAAUCUGUUGAUAAAAACAUUCUGACAUCAUGAUGA